GGAAUGUUCACCCCUGGUCUGUACGCGUUUUUUUUUCAGCAUUACAAUUACAUAGGCUAUCUAGGAUCCCUGGAUGUAUAAUAAAUCCACUGCGAAGUGGCUUAUGUCUUUUUACGUGUAGUUUUUUUGUCCACCUCGAACCGAAAAACGUGUAGAACCGACUGCAAGCUAAAGGUGGCGGUAGAGUGCAACGUAGAAAGACCGCGCUCGACCCUACCACCGAAGAAGAGCUCGCUUUGAAUGAUUUUGCGGGAAGAAAUAUAAAUAUAUAUAUUUAUUUUCGUUAUAGUUUAAAACAACUGGUACAUCGUGGUUAUUGACCGUCUCUUUGGAUGCCAUUAAUUCCCCCUGCCACGCUUGGAGGAGCGGAGCCGCUGAGCCGACGCCACCUCUUCUAGUCCUGAAAUGAGUCGAAUGACGAGACUUUUGAUGAGCCUGAAACGGGCUGGGAAACCAGGCUUGGCAAAUCAGCACCAUGCUGUACCAUCUCCAGAUAUCUCUGCUAUUGAGAAGGACGGCAUUUUUCAGGGGGAGCAGGGUCCCUGUCAUGGCACACCGCUUCACAGUACAACCAUCGAGGACAGCAGCAUCAGUGUGCAACGGCCGAGUGAAAAUACAGAAAGCAGUGGCGGAGAUGGUGUGACGAACACCCCGAGAACCACUGAUCCCAGACAUGCAAAGUCAUCGAAGAGCUCUUGCAAUGCUGGUGCUUUGCCACGAAUCACUGAGAGCAGUGAGGUGAACGCUCUGGAAGAGGCUGAACCUGACACCUCGGUCUCCCAGUUCUCCUCACAACCAGCACCC
rnacentral:lncRNA from 1 species